UUAGAUUGACAACCAUGAAUUUUGCUGAGACAAUAUAAAAUGUUGAUAUAGUUGACAUUUGUUUUGUUCUUUUUUCCGUUUUUGAGUAUUUUGCCAAUUCAGAGCCUCUUUUGAUGUCCUUUUUUUUUAAGGGAACUUUUUCCUAUGUUGUUUUCUAGAUCCUCAUUUUGUUGAAUAAGCGGACACAUAACUGAUUAGUGCUGUUGUCUCAAUGACAAUAUAAAAGGACUACCACUAUACAGAGAAAUUCCAAAGGACCAAUGUCUUUCAGACAAGAGUUCUGAUGGCACUAACUGCUAUAUGCCUUUAACAGGACCAAUGUCCCUUCGGAAUGUCAGGAUCUGUUUUAGAUUUCCAUUGUUGUGAGUAGAAAGAGAGAGUGCGCUUUAGGACCUUGAGUUUUACUCGUCCUCAUUCCUGAGAUGUCAAAUCCAAGGUGGCAUGUAGGAUCAGGUCCAAGACCAUGUGGAACUGACUUUCUAAGCCACUCUGUCAGGAGUCCAGUGCAUGAGGUCACUUGCAAGGUAUGUGCAAGCACAGAGGAAGUUUUAUUUUAUUUUACUUUAUUUUUUCAUUAUUAUGAUUUAACUUUCCUCUCGGCCAAAUGCAGGUACAUAUAUUUACUGUACAAAUGCAGUUUUGUGAUUUUGCACAUGUGUGGAAUCUGAGGCUUAACACUGCCUCAAUGAUCUCUUCCUCUUGUCGUCAUGGAGACUUUGUUUAGUCUCAUGACGCCUCCCUACUUACCCUCUAAGAGUGUUUAAAGUCUAGUAGCAAGCACAUGUUCACACUGGUGUUAUGAAACUGUCUCUGGACCGGCUGGUAGGAAACCUCAAUCUGAUUGGAUGUAUAUUCUCUGUCCUGCCCUGCUUUGUGUGAGCUUAUUCCAGACAUAUAGUAUAUAAAUAAAUAAUAUUACGACUUUUCAGCCACCUGAUGUAGGCUAUAUCCAGAGACUUACAUUAACAUAAUAUGUAUGUGAAGGAAAUAAGCCCUAAAUAUAAAAGGGAAUACAUUUGAAUUGUGGAAGGUUUCAGAUACUUAGGGAGGCCUUAGGUUCAUUCCCAGAACCCCAUUUAAAUUUGGCCUCGUCUUCUCCCAUGAACCUUAUUGCAUGAAAACAUCUGCACUUAACCAAAUCAGGUGUGUUGUAUAAACCUGAAUGUAAAUAUAAUAUUAUCGUGUAAUAUUUAAUAUUGACGAUGGAAUGGACUUUUUAUUUAUUUUUUUCCUGUCUGUGUAUUUCAGGUUUGUGUGCGUGUCAACGUACUGUAUGUGCCAAUGUUAGAGGACAGGAGUGUUCUUUGAAAAUUCCAUUUAUUUGGUACACAGGGUAAGAAGGUCAAUUGUUACUUUAAACCUGUGUAAGAAUGUGUACAUGAGAGGUGUUAAACUAUUUUACUGCAGAUGACAAGUAUGACUCAAUCAUUUAUGUACAUACAAUAUUAAACAGAAUGAAUACAGAGGAAUAUAAUGUUAAUAUUUAUUGCUUCUGAAACAUAAAGUGUCCUUGCUGUGGAUACCUGCUCAGCUCAUGGUUGUUUUUUGUCCCCUUUUAUUUAUUGACUCCAAUGACCC
ensembl:lncRNA